UUAUUUUCUUAUAAUCUCAAUGCAGGUACUCUAAGGUGAAGCGUUCAUGGUCUUGUCCUUAUUUAUACGGCUUGGGGGUCAGUGCAUUGCUAGCGACCAUAUGUUGGGCCUGAUGACGUAAUAGACCUUCCGUGGUUGUGAUAACGAGAACGAACAGAAGGUCCAAUGUAUACUGACAUACAGCUGCUUAGUGCUCAGCUGUGAAAAGUCAAAUCUGGUUACGAAGUAAAUGCAUACUAAGAAUAGAGACCCUCUUGAUUAUUAAAUGAAUAGAGAAACAUAUUUUUCUCUUCACGAGAAUAAAAUUAGUUUUUUAAAGUGCCAUCUCUUUUCUUGACGCAGGUAACGAGUUAUAUAAUAUUUCAAACGUAAGUCUGAGAACAUCGCUAUUUUUGCACAGAAUUUUAUCACGAGCGACAUAAAUUUUAUGGCCGUGAAAUGGUCUCCGAAAAAUGUCUUACGUGAAAAUUGUACGUUGGCACGUAUUCAAACCUGUCCAUAUCUCGAUCGCACCCCCUUUGUGACUCGUCACGGUGUAUCGACUGAGUUAAACACCUGUCACACGUAAUUACCUCGUAAUAUUUACACUGACAGAUCUUAAUUGUUUCGCGAAUACCUGGACUGAGGUAAUGGAAACGCAAGUAAGUUAAACGCAAGUGCGAAUUAGUCUAAGGUAGGUAUACUAUCUCAUAAUCCAAUAACUUCUUCGAAAUAAUCCUAAACUUUUCCUUUUGAUCAUAAACUGUAAAGAUUUUGGCACAAACAUCAUUCUUGUAUCACCGCGUCGAUGAGUAAUGUUACUGUUCAAUACAAUUUUAUGUAAUCGAAAAGUUUUAUAAGUAGGAAUGUAAUGAAUCCGGGAUUGUAUAACGUUCAGGUGUUUAUGAGUCAAUCGGCGGGGGCAGGUGUGGUGGCUCUCCAUGGAGCGUGUGGGCCGACGCUAAAAUAAAAUGGAAGCAGCGAGCCCCUUGCGAGUGUUACUCACGCCACAGAAGUCGUCGCUGUGUGAGCAUUACUCAUGCUGCUGCCGUGGGCAGCCGCACUCCCACGCCAUAUCAAAAUUUCGUAGGUACGAACAGUUUUAGACGUUACUUCUACUGAAACACAAUCUUAACAAUCAGUCUGGCUGUGCGCGAGAGAUCGCGUUCAAACAUCAGUUACCGAUACGUUCUGUACUUAUUUAUUUUGCACAUUCCUCAUUAAUGGGAGUAUUAAUUAAUUCAAGAAUUAAAAAUAGCACAAUGGCAGUACAUUAGCUUAAAGUCACCUGAAAGUUCUGGUUACUAUGUAAAAUUGUAAACAAACAGAAACUGACAAAGUUAUUUAUAAUGAACAAGUAAAAACAAUGAAACGUCUGUAAAUAAAUUGAAAUGUCAAUAAAUUGCGCAGAGAAAGUAAACAACGCAUUAGUUUCAGUCAAGUAAGUGUGUUCGCAUUCAUUCGGUGUUUGUGUUUGUUUAUUUUUCUGUUGCACACAGCAUCUUAUCGGUUGGUAUCUUAUCACAUCAUUGAUUCGUUUUAGACCAAUGUAUUUGCGUUUAGGUAACUAUUUUAGAAAUUCGCCAACUAUAACAUUAUUUGCUUAUACAUAUAUCGCCAGUAGUUGCCGCGUACUAAUUUUAAGAGCAUUCACAGACAGAUUGGUAGCGUGGUUUGAAAAUAGCUUCAAAGAAAGCUAUUUGAUCACAGCUCCGAGAUAGUGCACAAUUUGUGCAACAUUUCUUUGGGUUACGACAUCUGAUAGCUGUUGAUGGACGUCAGUUCAUGGACCUGCGACACGUGGUAGCGUAGAGCAUUUGGAAAUAGGCACUUAUCUUAAAUAAUCAUCUUUAAAUUCCUCGCAUUGUUUCGCUGGAGACGACAAAAGAUUUUGUUUAUUAUAUAACUUUCGUGAGACAUACUAAAUUAAUUAUUAUGUAACUGUUUCACGAGGAACUCAACUAGUUUCAGGCCAUACUAGAGGCUCAUAUUCAUGGGCAGCAUUCCGCGACACACGACAGCACAAAAGUUACGUAAGUCGAUAGUAUAAUAAUUAAAUAUUUUUUGUUUAACAACAUCAAUACUGGUCCCAUGAAAACUCCGCUUUUAUCUAAUAAAAAUAACAAUGUCUAACCUCUGAAGAAUAAUCUUUGUUCUUUUCUAUUACUUCCUCAUUUUUGUAAUAGAAUAGAGAAAUGAGGUCAAGUAUGUUGGUUGUGUUGUGAUCAAACUAUUCUUCAUUGAAGUCGGAGAGAUGCAUGGCUUGAUACAUUAACAAAAAUACGUUUUUCUUAUAUUGCCUCAGUUUCAUUAUUUAUUAUCAUCCAGUGUGUAUACAAUGUACGUGUUAUUUUAAAUAAUUUGCACUACUUUCUCUUUCAAUGUUGAAACAGUAAUUUAUUAUGCGUGGACGCAUUAAUUUCUUUCAGCGUACCUACUAGAAUAAUAACCUACUUGGCAGAUGCAGUGUUACAAACGAAAAAGCAUUACAGCAUACACUAUUUUCAAGAUCAAACAUUGAAUUCAUUAAAUUUAUAAAAAGUUUUUAUGUUCUACCCACCCGCAUCCAUAGAAUAAGACUAUCGUAUGUGUAAGUAGUUGGCACAAGAACAUGUCGCGCGAGGUUUUAAAUUUGUUUUUUUUUUGCAAACUCCACUUUUUAUGAUAAGACGUCUUAUUUAUUUAUACGUAGUGCUAUCUUUUCUAAUACCUCAAGGUGAAACUGUCAAUUUAUUAAAAAAAUAGAUACACUGAGGAUGAAAUAGAGGUCACUUCUUAAUUUAAUAUCACUUGUGUGGGAGAGUCAUGCUUCGGUACAAACGGGGCGGCUACGGCUCGACCGGAGUGAAACCACGGCAUCACAGAAAACCGACGUUAAACAACGCUUGCGUUGUGUUUUGCUGAGUGAAUGAGGUUACCAGAGGCCCAAUACCCACUUCCCAAUCUUCCCAAUCCCUGAUUCCCCAACAACCCUUGAAUUCCUAACCCCUAAAAGGCCAGCAACGCACUAGUAUCGCCUUUGGUGUUUCGAUUGUCCAUGGACGGCGGCGAUUGCUCAUCAUCAGGUGAUCCGUCUGCAUGAUUACCGGCUUAUACCAUUAACAAAAAUAUUAAAACUAAAAAAAUACGUGUUCAACUUUCCUCAUCAAAUUCAUUACGUUAUAAUAUGUUAAUUAAUUAAGGAAUUUCUUUAUGAAAAUGCUCAAUGAAUGCCAUUCAUGCGUAUCAUUGUUGAGUACUGCAAACUCUUCUAUGCAUUAUGUGUUUGUAAACACAUAAUUUCAUACAGUAAACUAACAUAAGCCCGCCUCAAUAUUUCCCUUUGUGUGGCGACGUUGCUACGCGCCAUCGCCAUCGCCAGUGAAAUUUACAACUAAUAAAACAGCUAUUUUUGUUCACUCAUCUACUGGAAUAGAUCGUCUAACUAUAUGCUUUUCCUGGCUGUUGCAACAUAACAUCAUCGCAAUAAUUUAUUUCAAAUGUGCAUUACGUAUUACUUCAAAUUGUUUGUUUAUGCGUUUAAUUAACACGGUGAGAUGAAAAUUACCUUAGUUUAUUUAGCGGGAAUCUGUAAUCUAAUAGGGGAACAUUAACCGACUUUCGCUAUCGUCGCGCGUCGUUUAGAAUGUGAGUAGGAAAAGAAAAUAAAAAGUAUGUUUCCUGCAUCGUCUGAAAAGAUCGGCGUGGACGCACCGUGCUCGUGCUUGCCGACCGACUCUAUUUCUGUCGACAGAAUGUGCGGGCGGCGGCCCGCUACUGGAGUCCGAUCGUUUCUCAGAAAAUCCAGAUUAUAGAACACAUCGCGGUAAUUUGAGCCGUCAUGGAAAUUUCUGAGGUUCAUCGAAGACCAGACGGGUUCGUUGACAGCACCUGGAUGACGCAGCUGGAUGCCUGCCGAGUGCGUCAUCUCCAAAAUCUGACUUAACCAUUAGACGAAUAGCAAAACUAUUUGCGUUGGAAACCGAGCCAACAAUAAGUUACCUACUCGCACUGAUGAUUUCAUUGUGGCCGACAGGUAGAGUGCAUAAGACUUGCAUUAACCACUUCUAUUUCCCUAUCUUACAUAUAUUUAUGAGUAAUUUUAAUAAUAAUGCACUUAACAACAUGCUUACAACAGAAUGCAGCAAUAUUUGGUUAACAACUAAGAACACGAUGUAUACAUAGAACUAAGAAGUUUAUGAUCACAAAAAUAAAUCUGGUUGGUUAAUAUUAUCUGUGUACCCAGAUGCCAUAAUAUGAAAUAAAAAAUAUAUGCGAUAUUUUUCAUCGAUAUAUUUCGGGCUUUGUUCAGUAUUUUUUAACAAAAUCAGCCAGUGCUCGUUUGCCUAUUUAGUAAAAUCAAAAUUAAUGGAUGCCUGACUUAUAAAAAAUACUUCGAUAUUUUAUCUAAUUUUAUUAUAAUGAUUCCAACUAAAAAAUAAAUUGAAUUUUUAAGAUACCAUAAAAAAUAACGUUCUGGUUGCUUCAAAUAUCAUUUCUGGAUGUAGAUGCCAUAAAGAAAAAACAACGGUUUUUUUCUUUAGUAAGUUUUGGGCUUUUAAUGGGAUUUUUUGACAUUUCCAGCCAGCGUUCUUCUAUUUAAUGACAACGGUAAGUCACCACGGAGUUUUCAUGACAUGGAAAUAAUAAAUAAAUGUAA